rnacentral:rRNA from 1 species
AAUAUUGGACAAUGGGGGCAACCCUGAUCCAGCAACGCCGCGUGAGGGAUGAAGGUCUUUGGAUUGUAAACCUCUUUUCUCAGGGAAGAGCGAGGACGGUACCUGAGGAAUAAGUCACGGCUAACUACGUGCCAGCAGCCGCGGUAAUACGUAGGGUGCAAGCGUUAAUCGGAAUUACUGGGUGUAAAGCGUGCGCAGGCGGUUCGGCAAGAAGGAUGUGAAAUCCCAGGGCUUAACCUUGGAACUGCAUUCUUAACUGCCGGGCUAGAGUAUGUCAGAGGGGGGUAGAAUUCCGCGUGUAGCAGUGAAAUGCGUAGAGAUGCGGAGGAAUACCGAUGGCGAAGGCAGCCCCCUGGGAUAAUACUGACGCUCAUGCACGAAAGCGUGGGGAGCAAAC